CUUACGGAGAGUUUGAUCCUGGCUCAGGAUGAACGCUAGCGGCGUGCCUGAUACAUGCAAGUCGAACGAGGGCAUCCUUGUAGCAAUACAGGGGUGUUCCUAGUGGCGAAUGGGUGAGUAACACGUUGGUGACCUGCCCCGAAGUGAGGGACAACCCCGCGAAAGUGGGGCUAAUACCUCCUGUGAUCCCGGGAGUUAGAGCGCCCGGGAUGAAAGGCGCAAGCCGCUUCGGGAGGGGCCUGCGGCCCAUCAGCUUGUUGGCAGGGUAACGGCCUACCAAGGCGACGACGGGUAGGGGGCCUGAGAGGGUGGUCCCCCACACUGGCACUG
rfam:Chloroflexi bacterium RBG_13_66_10 RBG_13_scaffold_27098, whole genome shotgun sequence.